GACGUAGGGCGCAAGCGUUGUCCGGAUUUAUUGGGCGUAAAGAGCUCGUAGGCGGCUUGUUGCGUCGACCGUGAAAACCCACAGCUCAACUGUGGGCUUGCGGUUGAUACGGGCGGGCUGGAGUUCGGUAGGGGAGACUGGAAUUCCUGGUGUAGCGGUGAAAUGCGCAGAUAUCGGGAGGAACACCAGUGGCGAAAGCGGCUACCUGGCCCAUUCUUGACGCUGAGGCGCGAAAGCUAGGGGAGCAAACGGG
rnacentral:rRNA from 1 species